rnacentral:snoRNA from 1 species
GAGUUAUCGAGGAUUAUAAAAAGAAUUCUUCGUUCUGACUUGCUUAAUUUGGGAAUGACAAAUCUCUUAUUACACUCAUAAAAUCUUAGCUAC